rnacentral:rRNA from 1 species
AGCAGCCGCGGUAAUUCCAGCUCCAAUAGCGUAUAUUAAAGUUGUUGCAGUUAAAAAGCUCGUAGUUGAACUUCGGGGUUUACCCAUUGGUCAGGCUUAAUUGUCUGCACUGGUGAGAUGAAUCUCUACCUUCUGAGGAACUUUCAUGCCAUUUAUUUGGUGUGAUGGGAAAUCAGGACUGUUACUUUGAAAAAUUGAGUGUUUAAAGCAGGCUAACGUCUGAAUACAUUAGCAUGGAAUAAUGAAAUAGGACGGACUGAUUCUAUUUCGUUGGUUUCUAGGAUCACCGUAAUGAUUAAUAGGGAUAGUUGGGGGCAUUAGUAUUCAAUUGUCAGAGGUGAAAUUCUUGGAUUUAUUGAAGACUAACUACUGCGAAAGCAUUUGCCAAGGAUGUUUUCAUUAAUCAAGAACGAAAGUUAGGGGAUCGAAGACGAUCAGAUACCGUCGUAG